GCCAAAAAUCUAGCCCUAACCACAGAAAUACCCCCCCCCCUUCCUUCAUUAACAAAAUAAAACAUUCUUCAAAUCUAGUAAAGGCGACAAAAAAAUUAACAGGAGCUAUACUAACAGUACCGUAAGGGAAAGCUGAAAUAAAAAUGAAACACGCUUAAGCACAAAAAAGUAAAGACUUACCCUUGUACCUUUUGCAUCAUGGUUUAACUAGUCCUACUCAAGCAAAAUGAAUUGCAGUUUGACCCCCCGAAACUAAGUGAGCUACUCCAAGGCAGCUUUAUGAGCCAACCCGUCUCUGUUGCAAAAGAGUGGGAAGACCUUCGAGUAGGGGUGAUAGACCUAACGAACUUAGUGAUAGCUGGUUACUCGAUAAAAGAAUUUUAGUUCUCCCUAAAGCCCACACAAGAACACCAACUACUCCUUAUGCUUUAGAGGUAUUCAGAUAAGGUACAGCCUGUCUGAACCAGGAUACAACCUAAACUAACGGGUUAGAGAUUUUAAAAACCUCCUUUAAGUGGGCCUAAGAGCAGCCAUCUUUAAAAAAGCGUCAAAGCCUUAUAUAUUAAUUUUUAAUCAAUUACUACAAUAACCUUAAUCCCUUAAUCACAAUCGAGUAAUUCUAUAUAACUAUAGAACCUAUUAUGUUAAAACUAGUAACAAGAAUACAACCCUUCUCUAUAAUGUGAGUGUAAGCCAGAAAGGAUAAACCACUGUCAAUUAACACAAAUGAUCUUCAAUUAGCAACGCCCCAAGAAAACCCUACUUAACCUAGUGUUAAACUAACACAAGAACAUUACAAGAAAGAUUAAAAGAAAAAGAAGGAACUCGGCAAAUAAUGACCCCGCCUGUUUACCAAAAACAUCGCCUCUUGAUGAAAUAUGAGAGGUCCAGCCUGCCCAGUGACCUAGUUCAACGGCCGCGGUAUCCUAACCGUGCGAAGGUAGCGUAAUCACUUGUUCUUUAAAUGAGGACUAGUAUGAAUGGCAUCACGAGGGUUAAACUGUCUCCUUUUUCUAAUCAGUGAAACUAAUCUCCCCGUGAAGAAGCGGGGAUUAUUUUAUAAGACGAGAAGACCCUAUGGAGCUUAAAACAAAUUUACACCUGCUUUAAUAUAUUACCCUCCCGAGGACUCACACAAAUUAUAGCAUAACUGAUAAUUAGUUUUCGAUUGGGGUGAUCAUGGAGAAAAAACCAACCUCCACGACGAUAAGGGGGAGCACCUCCUGAGCCAAAAGCCACAACUUUCAGCACUAAAAAAUUAACGCACUUUGACCCAAUUACUUGAGCAACGAACCAAGUUACCCUAGGGAUAACAGCGCAAUCCACUUCAAGAGCUCAUAUCGACAAGUGGGCUUACGACCUCGAUGUUGGAUCAGGGUAUCCCAGUGGUGCAGCCGCUACUAAAGGUUCGUUUGUUCAACGAUUAAAACCCU
rnacentral:rRNA from 1 species